AUUGAACGCUGGCGGCAGGCCUAACACAUGCAAGUCGAGCGGAUGAAGGGAGCUUGCUCCUGGAUUCAGCGGCGGACGGGUGUGUAAUGCCUAGGAAUCUGCCUGGUAGUGGGGGAUAACGUCCGGAAACGGGCGCUAAUACCGCAUACGUCCUGCGGGAGAAAGUGGGGGAUCUUCGGACCUCACGCUCUCAGAUGAGCCUAGGUCGGAUUAGCUAGUUGGUGGGGUAAAGGCCUACCAAGGCGACGAUCCGUAACUGGUCUGAGAGGAUGAUCAGUCACACUGGAGCUGAGACACGGUCCAGACUCCUACGGGAGGCAGCAGUGGGGAAUAUUGGACAAUGGGCGAAAGCCUGAUCCAGCCAUGCCGCGUGUGUGAAGAAGGUCUUCGGAUUGGAAAGCACUUUAAGUUGGGAGGAAGGGCAGUAAGUUAAUACCUUGCUGUUUUGACGUUACCAACAGAAUAAGCACCGGCUAACUUCGUG
rnacentral:rRNA from 1 species